UGGGGAAUAUUGGACAAUGGGCGAAAGCCUGAUCCAGCCAUGCCGCGUGUGUGAAGAAGGUCUUCGGAUUGUAAAGCACUUUAAGUUGGGAGGAAGGGCAGUAAGCGAAUACCUUGCUGUUUUGACGUUACCGACAGAAUAAGCACCGGCUAACUCUGUGCCAGCAGCCGCGGUAAUACAGAGGGUGCAAGCGUUAAUCGGAAUUACUGGGCGUAAAGCGCGCGUAGGUGGUUCGUUAAGUUGAAUGUGAAAGCCCCGGGCUCAACCUGGGAACUGCAUCCAAAACUGGCGAGCGAGAGUAGGGCAGAGGGUGGUGGAAUUUCCUGUGUAGCGGUGAAAUGCGUAGAUAUAGGAAGGAAGACCAGUGGCGAAGGCGACCACCUGGGCUCAUACUGACACUGAGGUGCGAAAGCGUGGGGAGCAAACAGG
rnacentral:rRNA from 1 species